AAAAAUGCGAAACCUACAUAUGAACCGAGUCCAAUAGAUCAUAACACCUUAGACGACGUUUAUGACAAUGAAAGAGAUACAGAUUAUGAAAAAAGAUAUGCAAGUAUGUCGUACGACUACAAAAUAAUAGAAAGUAUGGACAAAUACAAAGAUCUAAUUAAUAAGUUUAACAAAUAUCCUUUUAAUAUAAAAUUGCAAAAAGCACAAUUGUUAUAUACAAAGAUAUUAACAAUGAAAAUUAAUAAAUUAAUAGAAGGAUUUCGAAAACAUGAAAGUAUUAAAAAAAAUAAAGAAAAAAAAAUAUAUCGUAAUGCUAGGCUAAGCUUAGAUGUAGACAAACUAACUCCAUAUAUGAAUUUACCAAUAAAAUAUGACAAAAAAAAAAGAGAAAAAAUAAAUAAUUUAUUUAUAAAAUAUAUACAAGAAAAUAACUUAAUAAAAUCUGCUUUAAUUUUGAGAAAAUAUACUAAUUUGAUAGAUACAAGUAAUGAAAAAAUUCGUGAAAAUAUAAAAAAGUUUUUAAAAUUACAUGAAUAUAUAUAUAAAUGUAAUAAAUAUAAUGAAGAAACUUUAAGUCAUUUAAGAAUGGUUUAUUAUUCAACUGUACAAAAACCGAGGGUAAUACAAAAAAUUAGUGAAGUGGGCCUGAUCGAACAAGGAGAAAAUGUAACACAUAAAGAAGUUUAUGAAAAAGAAUUAAAUGCAUACUUAACAGAAAGAGAAAAAAUAAGAAAUGAAAAUUUAAAAAAAAAAAAAAAUAUUAAUAUAGAAGAUUUAAAUGAUUUUAGUUCUGCAUAUUCAAUGGAGUGGUUACCUGUUAUAUAUAAAGAUAUGUUUAAUCAAAUCCAAAAUGAAAAAAAACAAAAGGAUUUAAAAAAAGUAAUUUCAUACGCCGAUAGUAACACUAGUUACGCCGAUAGUAACACUAGUUACGACGAUAGUAACACUAGUUACGACGAUAGUAACAUUAGUAUUGAUAAAAAGAAAAAAACGAUUGAAAGAUUAUUUUCUGGUUCAACUGUAGAUGAUAAGUUUACUUCUACAAGUUCUGGACAAAGUAAAACUAAAAAAUAUAAUCAACCAUCACAUAAAAAAAGAGAUGAAAAAAUGAUUAAACACAAUGGGGAACGAGACUUUUUGCCUGAUUUAACAAAUGAAUUAAAAAUUGGUAGUAAUUUGGUUAAUUAUAAAAAAAGAGGAAAAAAAAAAAAAAAAAAAAAGCGUGAGAAAAGUGAGAAAAGUGAGAAAAGUGAGAAAAGUGAUAAAAGUGCUAGCGGCGGAGAUACGAACGAGUCAGAAUAAAAAACGAAAUUACGUUCGUGCAUGUAAGGACAAAGAGUUAUAAACUGUUUUUGUAGCAUACAUGAUCACGUAUUUGUCAGCAUUUUCCAAAAUUUGUCAACAUUUUUAACUAUUUGUACUUACUGUGUUGUAUUAAUUGUAUUAAACCGAUUUUAUAAUUUAGUCUUUUCUUAUAGUGUUAUUUGUUACAUAUGUCAAAUGGCUACAUACAGCCAUGUAAAAAAAAAAAAAAAAAAAAAAAAAAAAAAAAAAAAAAAAAAAAAAAAACAUUUAAGGUGUUUAUUAACUUAAAAAUUUGUUAAUUUUGUUCUUUUUUUAAAGAUUUUAA
ensembl:lncRNA